rnacentral:lncRNA from 1 species
CCCAAGCUGUAACACAGGAAUAAGCAUUUCAAGUGUAGGGGCCACUGAAGAGGCCAUUCCGUGCAGAGAAAGGCCAAGGAACUACCUCAAGAAUAUAUGAAAUGGCGUUUGGGUGGGUCGGUUGUGCUCAGUUGGUGAUCAGCCAAGCAGUUUUCACUGGUUUCUGGAGGUCGCAACUAUCAAAGAUUCUCAAGCAGGGUGGAAAAGCUGGCGCUCACAAACCUCUUCAUAAGCCUGCUCCAGAAUCUGUCAGAAUUCUCAUCUUUUC